UUUAGAUGUAAUAAAUACGCGUUGCACUAAGCGCGAUAAGAAUUUGCGGUAGUUUUUUCCGACUCGAUCCGCUGGGAAUUACGCGUUUUUUUUUCUUUUUCCGAUGUACCCACGUCGCUUUUUUGUUCUCGAAACUCCGGACAGGAGAAUUUCGCGCCAUUAAAUCGAAAAUGGAAGAGGAACCAACAUCGGAAACGGUCGUGAUGACGGACAUCACCGAACCCCUUACGAACGAAUCCGAGGAACAUGGGGGUCUCGCUUCGGAGACGCAUUCUUCUGUUAACCCUGUCGCGGUACCGGUCGCCUCGGUGCCUGUUUCCCUGCCUGUUGGGUCCCUAAUCGGCGUCACCUCGAGCGGUACCACCUUCAAUGUCAUUACUCCAGAGCAGCUGCAGCUGCAGGGCUCGACGCAGUUCAAGCCCGUCCUGUGCGUGGACAACAGCUUCAUAUGCGAGUCGCGUCAGGACAAAGACAACGACCCCCUGCGCACAUGGGUGAGGGCGCAGGGUUCCCCGACGGUUAAUGACCGGCAAGCCCCGAUCCAGCACUAUGUGUUGGGAGGACCAGUCAACGGGGACCUCAAGGGCGCGCACAUCGUGAUCCAGAGCGAGGACGGGGCCCAGUCCUCCCAGGGGGCCUCCCCCGGGGUCCGCGAGCAGAACCACGGGUCGUGGACAGAGUUCGCCAACCUGGCAGUCCUGCCCGUCAGGUGCAAGAACACGAACGCGGAGCUCCACAAGUGCCGUUUCGGCUCGGGCGGCCGGGGGCGCUGCAUCAAGCUGGUGGACCACUGGUACACGCCCAGCGAGUUCGAGGCCCUGUGCGGCCGCGCCUCCAGCAAGGACUGGAAGAGGAGCAUCAGGUUCGGGGGCCGCAGCCUCCAGACGCUGAUCGACGAGGGCAUCCUCACCCCGCACGCCACCAGCUGCACCUGCGCCGCCUGCUGCGACGACGAGAGUGCCACUGGUCCAGUUCGUUUGUUCACCCCGUACAAGCGGCGGAAGAGGAAAGAAACUUCUGCUUCGGACGGCGAAGGAACGUCGAAUUCGAAAACCAGGUGUCUGGCGUCCAAAGAAGAGAGUUGUGGGGACGCGGAGGACAGCGAGGGCAACAGCAUGGGGGAGGAGCAGUGGCAGAACGGGGAGAACUCGUGCGGGCAGGCGCGCCUCACGGAGGAGGGGAUGGUGGUGGAGUGCUCGCCGCCCGCCCACGCCCCGGAGACCGUCCAGGUGGAGACUCUCCCACGAGGCCCCAGCGACUGCGCCCGCGCCUUCAAGAAGCUCGACGAGAUGGCGGCCAAGAUGUGCAAGCUGGCGUACCAGUUCCGGCGCUGCAUCGAGGAGGCCCGGGAGCGGUGCCAACACGACAAGGAGCAGACGCUGCUGUCGGGGCACGUGGAGGAGGUCGCCUGCACCAGGACUGUCUACGGAGAUGGUCUCCCAGUCCAUGUUGUGGACCCAAUUGACUCCGUUGGACUGCAGCCUGCCUCUGAUGGCUCAGAGACCAAAAAGUGCGCCAACUGCAACCGGGACGCGUUCGCGGAGUGCUCGCUGUGCCGCCGCAUCCCCUACUGCUCCACCUUCUGCCAGCGCAAGGACUGGGAGGGCCACCAGGUGGAGUGCGUGCGGUCGGCCGCCGACGCCUCCGCCAUCACCGCCUCGUCGGGCCAGAUGCUGCUCAUCGUGGAGAGCUCGGAGCAGGUGCUCCCACACGAGGGCUGAUGCCGCCGCCCCCUUUGCGGUCCACCCCCCUUCUCGUCGCGAGGGACCCGCGGAGAAGGCUUCCCGCGGCGUGACUUAGCACCACGCCAUCGCUGCCGCCUGCUGGCCGGCCGUGCUACUCUGCGAGUAGCACCACCAGCCGUGCUACUCCGAGGAGCGCCGAAGACCGUGCUACUCCGAGUAGCGCCGCCGGCCGGAACGAGCGCUGCUACUCCCGGUCGUCACGUGACCUCCGCAGCUGGAGCGGAGUCUGCUCUGGAGAAACAAGAAUACCCUGAGAGUCCGCUGGCUGUUGAAUUCCCACGAGAAAUACUAAUGAAACAUCGACCAAUAAGAGCGGCCUUUGCAUCGGAACGGCCAACCAUCAGCCAACUGUGUCAAGCCCGUGUUCCAGAAAAUGCAGUGUUCAGUGAAGAGAAUAUAAUGUUUUUAUGUGCAACUGACUGGUCCCAAGCAAGUUAUGAGCUGUUCUUCGGUUGGUAGGACGACUAGUUGUUGAGUACUACUAGGGGCAAGAUUAUAUGGUGAAUAGUGAUAAAAAACAAAAUGCAAUGAAAUUAAAACAAUACGUACUUGAUACCACACAAAUGAGGCUAAAUGCUUACAGAGGAAAAAAAAAGGAACUUUCAUCAUUGCAUGUGGGUUUUUUAUUCAUACUACAUACCUAUUAGUAUUGUAAUUAAAAUCUGAUAAAAUGUAAAAUUUAAAUUGGACAUUAUCCAUUGUUAAUAUGUGGGUUUUUAGCCCCUGUAACAAAGUUAACUUCUUUUUUUUUCUCCCAUAAAUGAAAUGUUAUAUGUAAUUUUAUAUAUUAAUGCACAAUACUAGUGACAUGUGUAAAACAUUCAAAAAAAUCAAAAUGACAGAGACAUAAUUAUAAAUAUGAAGCCAUUAUAUCUUGCCCCUCUAGUACUAAUGAAACAAAAGAAUGUACCUGUGGAUAUGUGAAGUUUGUCCUUAUGUAUGCUGCUAAGUAGCAAUGUCCAAGCCUAUAACGGACUUAAAUGUUGCAUGUGACAAGCUGAAACAUGUCAACUUCAUUAUUUCAUGUUAUUGUCAUUCUUGUUGAUUAAUUGGGAUCUUUUGCAUUUAUUGUGCUACAAAUUUUCUAACCAGAUACUCUGAUAAAAAAUUUUUUUCAAGCUGUAAAAUGUCAUGCUAUUGAACCCUGUUACAAAUCUUUCCAAGGGGGCACAAGGAAAAAAAUAUAUAUAUAAGUAGGAAAUAAGUACGUACAUCUGAUAAAACACUGGAAUAGCACUGAACUCUUUUUUUUCCCCAAGCAAGGGUGCCAACACACGUAACUGAGAAUUUUUUUUACUUUUGAUUUAUUGAAUACGCCAUGUUUGCCAGCACUUAUUUGUAGCUCUAGUAUUCUGGGAAGCCUACGAUUCACGCCGAGUAUUUGACAUGCCCGAAGAUUACCGAAUACCUGACUUCGGGCGACUUAGGAAUUCUUUUGUUUAGGUGAAAAAACAAAUUUUUUUUUAUUUUGCCUUGUGUUCAUGAAUGCCUAAUUAAUUAAAAUGGUCGAUUAGGUCAGGUCAGUUACAUUAUAAAUACUUCAAACUGAGAGGACAUUAAAAAUAAUAUGAAUUAUUUUUAAUGGAUGUUUAGUUUUAAAGUAUUUAUAAUGUAACUGACCUCACUAAACACACCGGGACAAAGGAUGAACAGUAGGAACGUAAUUUUUUUUCUUAUUACUUGCGCAACAAUAUCCAAACAAACAAAUCUUAAGUUAAUUACAUCGCAUUUUAAUUUGAUGACAUUGCAAGAAGAAUGUAAAAGAUAAGAAUGUUCUUAGAUUUACUCAAAUAUUAGUCUUGGUUUUAAUGGCUUAAUUUGUAUUAUUGUUAUGAAACUUCCUACCUUUAUUUGUUCAUGUCCGGCAUUUAAAACAUAAGUUUUUUUUCACCUAAACAAAAGAAUUCCGAAGACACCCGAAGGUUGUAAACAAAAAUGUGUGUAAACGUAUUAACAUGUUACACUUGCCUGUAGCAUAGUUAGAUUUUAAAACUUUUUUAUUUUUGAAUUUGUUGUAUACUGGAAAGUUAUCAAGCAGGCAAUGAACCAUUCGGCUGCAUAUGUGAAACGUAAUUUAUACAUUGUCCUCGUGGGGACUUCAAUAAUAUCAUAGAAGAAGGAAAAAUAAGCAGGAAUAUUGUAACAGGGUUCUACUGUAAUUAUCACAAAGCUGUAAAAAAUGAUGUAAGUGUAUACUGGUAAAGCAGUUUUGAAGGAUAUUAAGUUGGAACUCCUAACAAAUUUUUACUUCAGGCUCAAAACAUUCACAUGUUAAUUUUUUUUCUUAUGAAAAAAAAAUUUGUAAGUUUUGAGCUUGAAGUAAAUAUUUGUUAGGAGUGCCAACUAAAUGACCAUAGUAAUUUAUUAAUGUUACGAAAGGUUUGCAUCAUGCUUGAGAAAAUUGUAGUGUCAAUGACUGUAAAUAAUGUAAUUUGAAUUCUGCUGGUGCAAAUAAACUGUUAUAUAUGUUGAA